rnacentral:rRNA from 1 species
CCUAUCCGUCGCGGGCGUUGGAAAUUUGAGAGGAGCUGUCCUUAGUACGAGAGGACCGGGAUGGACUUACCGCUGGUGUACCAGUUGUUCUGCCAAGGGCAUUGCUGGGUAGCUAUGUAGGGAAGGGAUAAACGCUGAAAGCAUCUAAGUGUGAAGCCCACCUCAAGAUGAGAUUUCCCAUUUCUUUAAGAAAGUAAGAUCCCUGAGAGAUGAUCAGGUAGAUAGGUCAGGAGUGGAAGUACAGUGAUGUAUGGAGCGGACUGAUACUAAUCGAUCGAGGACUUAACCAA